rnacentral:rRNA from 1 species
GACGAACGCUGGCGGCGUGCUUAACACAUGCAAGUCGAACGAAGAGCGAUGUAAGCUUGCUUCUAUCAAUCUUAGUGGCGAACGGGUGAGUAACGCGUAAUCAACCUGCCCUUCAGAGGGGGACAACAGUUGGAAACGACUGCUAAUACCGCAUACGAUCUAAUCUCGGCAUCGAGGAUAGAUGAAAGGUGGCCUCUACAUGUAAGCUAUCACUGAGGGAGGGGAUUGCGUCUGAUUAGCUAGUUGGAGGGGUAACGGCCCACCAAGGCGAUGAUCAGUAGCCGGUCUGAGAGGAUGAACGGCCACAUUGGGACUGAGACACGGCCCAGACUCCUACGGGAGGCAGCAGUGGGGAAUCUUCCGCAAUGGACGAAAGUCUGACGGAGCAACGCCGCGUGAGCGAUGACGGCCUUCGGGUUGUAAAGCUCUGUUAAUCGGGACGAAAGGCCUUCUUGCGAAUAGUGAGAAGGAUUGACGGUACCGGAAUAGAAAGCCACGGCUAACUACGUG